AACAAUUACCGCACUGAAAUUUUUUUGAUUUACAUACCAAAAUGAUGGACUUGUCACGAGAACCGGAAAGAAGAAUAUCAGGGUUCUCGGGGGCAGUAGAAAGAGAUGUAACCCAUCCAGAGUGACCUUCGAGAGUUGCACGGAGCACAAGUUGUUCUGGCAUGUUGACUGGUCGGGAUGUCUUGAAGGAGAGAUGUAGGUAGCUCAAAAAAUGUUCUAUAUGGACUGUGACUGUCUUUGAA